rnacentral:rRNA from 1 species
GACGAACGCUGGCGGCGUGCCUAAUACAUGCAAGUCGAACGCACUCUCGUUUAGAUUGAAGGAGCUUGCUCCUGAUUGAUAAGCAUUUGAGUGAGUGGCGGACGGGUGAGUAACACGUGGGUAACCUGCCCUAAAGUGGGGGAUAACAUUUGGAAACAGAUGCUAAUACCGCAUAAAACCUAGCACCGCAUGGUGCAGGGUUGAAAGAUGGUUUCGGCUAUCACUUUAGGAUGGACCCGCGGUGCAUUAGUUAGUUGGUGAGGUAAAGGCUCACCAAGACCGUGAUGCAUAGCCGACCUGAGAGGGUAAUCGGGCCACACUGGGACUGAGACACGGCCCAGACUCCUACGGGAGGCAGCAGUAGGGAAUCUUCCACAAUGGACGAAAGUCUGAUGGAGCAACGCCGCGUGAGUGAAGAAGGUUUCGGAUCGUAAAACUCUAGUUGUUGGAGAAGAAUGUAUCUGAUAGUAACUGAUCAGGUAGUGACGGUAUCCAACCAGAAA